AGAGUUUGAUCAUGGCUCAGAUUGAACGCUGGCGGCAGGCCUAACACAUGCAAGUCGAACGGUAACAGGAAGAAGCUUGCUUCUUUGCUGACGAGUGGCGGACGGGUGAGUAAUGUCUGGGAAACUGCCUGAUGGAGGGGGAUAACUACUGGAAACGGUAGCUAAUACCGCAUAACGUCGCAAGACCAAAGAGGGGGACCUUCGGGCCUCUUGCCAUCGGAUGUGCCCAGAUGGGAUUAGCUAGUAGGUGGGGUAACGGCUCACCUAGGCGACGAUCCCUAGCUGGUCUGAGAGGAUGACCAGCCACACUGGAACUGAGACACGGUCCAGACUCCUACGGGAGGCAGCAGUGGGGAAUAUUGCACAAUGGGCGCAAGCCUGAUGCAGCCAUGCCGCGUGUAUGAAGAAGGCCUUCGGGUUGUAAAGUACUUUCAGCGGGGAGGAAGGGAGUAAAGUUAAUACCUUUGCUCAUUGACGUUACCCGCAGAAGAAGCACCGGUUAACUCCGUGCCAGCAGCCGCGGUAAUACGGAGGGUGCAAGCGUUAAUCGGAACUACUGGGCGUAAAGCGCACGCAGGCGGUUUGUUAAGUCAGAUGUGAAAUCCCCGGGCUCAACCUGGGAACUGCAUCUGAUACUGGCAAGCUUGAGUCUCGUAGAGGGGGGUAGAAUUCCAGGUGUAGCGGUGAAAUGCGUAGAGAUCUGGAGGAAUACCGGUGGCGAAGGCGGCCCCCUGGACGAAGACUGACGCUCAGGUGCGAAAGCGUGGGGAGCAAACAGGAUUAGAUACCCUGGUAGUCCACGCCGUAAACGAUGUCGACUUGGAGGUUGUGCCCUUGAGGCGUGGCUUCCGGAGCUAACGCGUUAAGUCGACCGCCUGGGGAGUACGGCCGCAAGGUUAAAACUCAAAUGAAUUGACGGGGGCCCGCACAAGCGGUGGAGCAUGUGGUUUAAUUCGAUGCAACGCGAAGAACCUUACCUGGUCUUGACAUCCACGGAAGUUUUCAGAGAUGAGAAUGUGCCUUCGGGAACCGUGAGACAGGUGCUGCAUGGCUGUCGUCAGCUCGUGUUGUGAAAUGUUGGGUUAAGUCCCGCAACGAGCGCAACCCUUAUCCUUUGUUGCCAGCGGUCCGGCCGGGAACUCAAAGGAGACUGCCAGUGAUAAACUGGAGGAAGGUGGGGAUGACGUCAAGACAUCAUGGCCCUUACGACCAGGGCUACACACGUGCUACAAUGGCGCAUACAAAGAGAAGCGACCUCGCGAGAGCAAGCGGACCUCAUAAAGUGCGUCGUAGUCCGGAUUGGAGUCUGCAACUCGACUCCAUGAAGUCGGAAUCGCUAGUAAUCGUGGAUCAGAAUGCCACGGUGAAUACGUUCCCGGGCCUUGUACACACCGCCCGUCACACCAUGGGAGUGGGUUGCAAAAGAAGUAGGUAGCUUAACCUUCGGGAGGGCGCUUACCACUUUGUGAUUCAUGACUGGGGUGAAGUCGGAACAAGGUAACCGUAGGGGAACCUGCGGUUG
rnacentral:rRNA from 1 species